UUCACUAAUACACCUCUAUAAAUACAGAGCACCCUCGAUUUUACCCUCAUUCAUCACCACAAACCAUUCAAAUCGGUGAGCUAAGGAGUGAGAGAGGGGCUGAAUUAGAGACAAGAAAACAGAGCAACGCAUGAAGGUUGAUCGUUGUCGAAGCGGAGGAGGUGUUGGGAAAGAAAAUAAAUUAAGAAGUGAGGUAGCUGAUGUAGUAUGUCUUCAUACAUAUCACAUCGUCUUGGUACUCUUCCGCUGAAAAGAAACUAGAAUUUUGUCUUAGUAAGGACUAUGUCCCAGAAAUCACUCCGAUUCAGUAUGGUUGUACCCUUUCCACAUUUAGACAAUGUUUCUCUUGAAUUGGUUAUCCAUUUAUGAUGA